GCUGCUCGGAUAACAGGAACUCGAGUGCUCCAUCAUGAUCCCUACCGGGAGCCUAGAAGAAGUCCAACUUACGAAGCUUAUUCUCGCUCUAGAAGGUCGAGAUCAAGAUCUCGUUCAUACUCACCGUCACAUUCAAGGCGAUAUGCUCGAGGAGGUCAUUCGGACGAAGUUCGUCAUAGCAAGUCAAGGACUCCUAAAAUAGAAUAUAUCACUGAAUUUGGGGGCUCUGGUGACGGGGACGAAUCGAGGCUUGAAGGAUAUUCUCCACCAUCAUCUCCUCCAUCCCAAGCUGAUAUGUUGAGCCGGUCGGAGCACUCGACCUUUAAUUAUUGCAAAGAUAGAUUGGACAGUCUUUACACUGCUGCAGCUUACCCAUUUUGUUACCUGAAGAAAACUUUUGUGGUUUAAAAUAGAUCAGGCCUAGGGUUACCUUCUUCAUAAGUGCCAAGAUGGAGAGGGAAGGAGGCUUCCUUUCUGAAGCUCAUAUUUUCCCUGAAAUUGAUUUAAUAUAGUCUCUUCCAAGAAGUGUGGAACUGUUGGAAUGGAGUCUAAUGCUUAUGCUGUUGUGCAGGCCAUCUUCUGGUCUCAUACUUGAGGCAUUGCAUGUUGAUCCUGCAUCUGGUGUAUCCCUUGAUAAGGAGAAGAACGCUAAAGUGGUGAAACCAGCAGUAAGCACAUCAUCAGCAUUAGCAAAGCUAACCAAAGCAACUGCUUCUGGGGGGC
rnacentral:misc_RNA from 1 species